UUUUUUUUUUUUUUUGAGAUGGAGUUUUUGCUCUUGUUGCCCAGGAUGGAGUGCAGUGGUGCGAUCUCAGCUCACUGCAAACUCUGCCUCCCAGGUUCAAGCGAUUCUCCUGCCUCAGCCUCCCUAGUAGCUGGGAUUACAGGCAUGUGCAACCACUCCGGCUAAUUUUGUAUUUUUAGUAGAGACAGGGUUUCACUGUGUUGGUCAGACUGGUCUUGAACUCCCGACCUCAGGCAAUCUGCCCGCCUUGGCCUCCCAAAGUGCUGGGAUUACAGGCAUGAGCCACCGCGCCCGGCUGACAUUUUCUUUAAUACACAAAUUUCAAUGAUUCCCGUCAUCUUCUCUGGAAUAUGACAAGCCAAUUUUUUUUUUUUUUUUUUUUUUUUGAGUCAGUCUCACUCUGUCACCCAGGCUGGAGUGCAAUGGCGCGAUCUUGGCUCGCUGCAACCUCUGCCUCCCGGGUUCAAGUGAUUCUCCUGCCUCAGCCUUCUGAGUAGCUGGGAUUACAGGCACACACCACUACACUCGACUAAUAUUUUGCAUUUUUAGUAGAGACGGGGUUUCGCCAUGUUGCCCAGACUGGUCUCAAACUCCUGAGCUUAGACAAUCCGCCCUCCUGGGCCUCCCAGAGUGCUAGGAUUACAGGCGUGAGCCACUGCACCUGACCUGAGAGGCUAAUUCUUAUUAUUAGACUUCCCUUUACUUGUUUGUCUGUGGCAGGAAUACUGGGAGAAAGUCAAUAUGACCCUGGCAUUUGCAGGUUUCUUCCCCAAGUACAUUUGCCGCCCUCGCUUGCUCCAUAGCUCUCAGGUCACCUGAUGCCAUCUAGGGACUGGCUUCUCCCUGACUGCUGCUGCUUCGUUCCCCAGAUGUGUUUUCACAAGCCUGGACACAGGCUCUACCCUUUACUCCCCAAAGAAUACCUAAAACCAACAAGUAGGUGCCAGGGAAAAAAAAAAAAAAAAAGCCUGACAGAAGUCUUGAGGAUCACAGAAGGGAAUGACACUAAAAUAGAGGACAAUCUAAACACGAGGGGAUGUACGACUGCUCUUUGAGUCUGUUAGUCCAUACCUUCCCCAGGGUACCCUUUACCAGAGCUGGCUUCUUAGGCCUGUGACCUAUGCCAUCACACAGGUCCCCAGGCUUAGAAGGGGCUUCAUGCUUAGUGAUCUCCUGUUGUCAUCUUGAAAUUCUUAAUAAUUUUUGAAUAAAAGAUAUUCUGAAUUUUCAUUCUGCACUUAGCCCUGCAAAUUAUGUAGUGAUUCAUGCCUUCUAGUAACCAUUCUCCUCUUUAACCCCCUACCUGCCUGUAUGUGCAGAGACCAGUCCCACCUCUUGCCAACAAAAGCGCCCAUGAUUAUAGUCAACUCAGGCACACUGUUGCUCCACAGAUGCAAAAAACCUUGCUCACGAUGAAGACUUAGGAGUGAUGAAAUUGUCCUUCAAGUACCAUAACCACAAGAUAGUGAUAAAAACAGAUAACCAGCAUCUAUUUGGGGUGAUAUUGACAAAAUUAUCCAAAUGUGGUAGAU
rnacentral:lncRNA from 1 species